rnacentral:rRNA from 1 species
UACGUAGGGUGCAAGCGUUGUCCGGAAUUAUUGGGCGUAAAGAGCUUGUAGGCGGUUUGUCGCGUCUGCUGUGAAAUUUCGGGGCUCAACCCCGAACUUGCAGUGGGUACGGGCAGACUAGAGUGUGGUAGGGGGAGACUGGAAUUCCUGGUGUAGCGGUGAAAUGCGCAGAUAUCGGGAGGAAUACCAGCGGCGAAGGCGGCGCUCUGGGCCGGUGACUGACGCUGAGGAGCGAAAGCGUGGGGAGCAAACAGG